CAUUGUGCACCUGUGGAAGCGCAAAUCAGUUUUCAUUGACCCGCAGCCAUCGAGAGUAGCACACACCUGAAAUCGUUUUUUUUUUGUCGUUUCGCUUGCGUCUCGAACAUACACGCGUCUUCGCCUUCACGUGUAGAGCACCAGCAGACAAAGGCUGGGCUUCUCUAUAUAUUCCCGUUGACUAUAGUUGGAGCUGAGUUUCUUUGGUUCUCUCUUUUUGCGGUGCCGGGAAGAUGACGACGGGGCAGCAACAGUCUAUCGAGGAGCUGAGGAGUGAGCUGCAGCAGCUAGAGGAUUCGCUUGUGCUGCAGGAGGAGGCGCUUCAGCGCAAGAGACAGCAGUCUGAGAAGCUCAACAAUGAUCUGGCGAACGCGUACCUCGCUACCACGUCGCAGGAAGAAUCGAGCGCGGCCGCUAACGAAGCGUAUCGCACUGCAUCCCGGGCGAAACAGGUGCUUGAAAACAGUGAGACACAGAGUAGCGAGUCUAUGUGGUCGAAUCGCGAAGAUUAUGUUAGCCAGCUAAUGGCAGCGGACGAGGAAAGAAAGGGUGUUGAGGCUGACAUCGGUGAGGUUUCUUCGCGCAUCAAAGAACUGAAGGAGAAAAAAGUGGACGCGCAGAAGCGUCUCACGGUGGCACGCCUCAUGUCAAUGCUGGACGACCUUCAAAGCCUGCUCAAGAAGAAAGUCUACGGCCCGAGCGGCGGCGAGGAGACACGGGCACAGGAGCUUCUCAAGACAGUGCAGGAACUGUCGCGCGAGCGCGAGCGCACGAUCCAUUUGCUUUCGAAGAAAGAGCGGGAGAUGGCUUCUUUUAUCGACUUGAAACAGCGUCGCAUUGAGGAGCUGCGAAAGGAGUUUACGCGGAAUGUGAGCAUGUAUGCGGACUCGAACAACAGGGAGUUGUUAAAUGUUGCCCAGCGCAUCCAGGCAGAGCGCCACCAGCUGCUGCAAGAAAUAGAGCGUCUGGAGGAGGCGAACCGAAAGAUUGCAGAUGUUCUGAUGGACACCAAAUACACUACGGAGUCGGCAAUCAAGGAUCGGGAUACGGCUCUUUCGGCCGUCGAGACGAUGGGCAUUUCGAUGAAUCCGGAGAGGGAGUGCUUGCAGCUGCGCGAGCGUAUUCAGAAGGCGAACGCAGAGCGCCGCAUGUACGUGCUGAAGACGGAGGAGGUGCAGGGCAGCAUUGACGAAGAUACGGUCAUGUACAACACCCGUAUGUCUAAGCUCCGCAAAGAGAUUCUAUUUUACCAAGAUGAGACCGUACGUUUCGAGAAGGAGAACAAGGACUUAAAACAGCUCUGCGAUACGCUUGCUGGGUCGCUCGAUGGCUCGCAUUGACGCAGGAGAUCAUCUUUUGAAUCCAAUGAUCUCCUUGUCAGCACUGCCAACUGUACACAAUCUGCUCGAGUAUCCUUCUUUGGCUGCAUCCAUCUCUUUUUUUUGUUUGCGGCAAGGUCUGCGCGCUGAACUUGCUUUUGAUCGUUCUGGCGUACUCUGUUUCCUCAGCGACAAGAAC
rnacentral:misc_RNA from 1 species